rnacentral:rRNA from 1 species
UACGUAGGUGGCAAGCGUUGUCCGGAUUUACUGGGCGUAAAGAGCGCGCAGGCGGUCGUUCAAGUCGCGUGUGAAAGCCCCGGCUCAACUGGGGAGGGUCACGCGAUACUGAUCGACUCGAAGGCAGGAGAGGGUAGUGGAAUUCCCGGUGUAGUGGUGAAAUGCGUAGAUAUCGGGAGGAACACCAGUGGCGAAGGCGACUACCUGGCCUGUUUCUUGACGCUGAGGCGCGAAAGCUAGGGAGCAAACGGG